CAAAGAAAAAGAAAAAAUACAACAAAGAAGACAAAACAUGGUCGAGGUCUCUGUUUGCCUUCUUGUUUGCAAUUUCCCCGUAGAAAUAAUUCUUUUUGUUUCCUUUCUUUCCCCU
rnacentral:ribozyme from 1 species